rnacentral:rRNA from 1 species
AACGAACGCUGGCGGCAGGCUUAACACAUGCAAGUCGAGCGCCCCGCAAGGGGAGCGGCAGACGGGUGAGUAACGCGUAGGAAUCUACCCAUCUCUACGGAAUAACGCAUGGAAACGUGUGCUAAUACCGUAUACGUCCUUCGGGAGAAAGAUUUAUCGGAGAUGGAUGAGCCCGCGUUGGAUUAGCUAGUUGGUGGGGUAAAGGCCUACCAAGGCGACGAUCCAUAGCUGGUCUGCGCGGAUGAUCAGCCACACUGGGACUGAGACACGGACCAGACUCCUACGGGAGGCAGCAGUGGGGAAUAUUGGACAAUGGGCGCAAGCCUGAUCCGGCCAUGCCGCGUGAGUGAUGAAGGCCCUAGGGUUGUAAAGCUCUUUCACCGGUGAAGGUAAUGACGGUAACCGGAGAAGAAGCCCCGGCUAACUUCGUGCCAGCCGCCGCCGUAACAC